AAUGAACGCUGGCGGCAGGCCUAAAACAUGCAAGUCGAACGCCCUAGCAAUAGGGAGUGGCGCACGGGUGAGUAACAUGUGGGAAUAUGCCUUUUGGUACGGAACAACGUUUGGUAACGAACGCUAAUACUGUAUGGUCCCUCCGGGGUAAAGAUUUAUCGCCAAAAGAUUAGCCCGCCCUAGAUUAGCGAGUUGGUAAGGGAAUGGCUUACCAAGGCGACGAUCUAUAGCUGUUCUGAGAGGAAGAUCAGCCACACUGGGACUGAGACACGGCCCAGACUCCUACGGGAGGCAGCAGUUAGGAAUAUUGGACAAUGGGCGCAAGCCUGAUCCAGCCAUGCCGCGUGAGUGAUGAAGGCCUUCGGGUUGUAAAGCUCUUUAGCCGACGAAUAUAAUGACUGUAGUCGGAGAAUAAGCCCCGGCUAACUUCGUGCCAGCCGCCGCGGUAAAAC
rnacentral:rRNA from 1 species